rnacentral:rRNA from 1 species
CCUACGGGAGGCAGCAGUAGGGAAUUUUCGUCAAUGGGCGCAAGCCUGAACGAGCAAUGUCGCGUGAACGAGGAAGGUCUUCGGAUCGUAAAGUUCUGUUGAAGGGGAAAAAGAGCGGAGAGAGGAAAUGACCUCCGAUUGAUAUUACCCUUCGAGGCAGUCACGGCUAACUACGUGCCAGCAGCCGCGGUAAUACGUAGGUGGCGAGCGUUAUCCGGAAUGAUUGGGCGUAAAGGGUGCGUAGGCGGCCUGCUAAGUCUGGAGUGAAAGGUACCGGCUCAACCGGUACAGGCGCUGGAAACUGGCGGGCUAGAGAGCAGGAGAGGGCGGUGGAACUCCAUGUGUAGCGGUAAAAUGCGUAGAUAUAUGGAAGAACACCAGUGGCGAAGGCGGCCGCCUGGCCUGGUGACUGACGCUGAGGCACGAAAGCGUGGGGAGCAAAUAGGAUUAGAUACCCUAGUAGUC